CAAUUUACCUGGUAGGGAAAAUACCACGAUGAAGAAUGUGGCUUUCUCAGGAAGAGUUUCCUCCAUUGCCCUACAGAUGGUCUGACCUCUGAAAUUUCCCCAAAUUUGAGAAACUGGACUGCAGAAUUAGUGGUUGUGGGAGACUUUGUGUUUUUCCCC